GUCCAGACUCCUACGGGAGGCAGCAGUGGGGAAUAUUGGGCAAUGGGCGCAAGCCUGACCCAGCAACGCCGCGUGAAGGAAGAAGGCUUUCGGGUUGUAAACUUCUUUUCUCAGGGACGAAGCAAGUGACGGUACCUGAGGAAUAAGCCACGGCUAACUACGUGCCAGCAGCCGCGGUAAUACGGAGGAUGCGAGCGUUAUCCGGAUUUAUUGGGUUUAAAGGGUGCGUAGGCGGAUCGUUAAGUCAGUGGUCAAUUGGGGGGCCCCACCCCCUCCCCGCCAUUGAAACUGGCGCUCUUGAGUGGAAGAGAAGUAUGCGGAAUGCGUGGUGUAGCGGUGAAAUGCAUAGAUAUCACGCAGAACCCCGAUUGCGAAGGCAGCAUGCCGGCUUCCGACUGACGCUGAAGCACGAAAGCGUGGGGAUCGAACAGGAUUAGAUACCCUGGUAA
rnacentral:rRNA from 1 species